AUGGGAGAGGCUCCAAAACCCACCCAAAUCCCGACCCUCGGCCCCGAAUUUUGGCGCUUCCUCCUCCUCCUGCUCCUGCCGGUUCGGCCAGCGCGGGCCACGCCCGGAUCCGGCGCCUCAUCCCCACGUCCCCUCUGUCCCGCGGGGCUCCGGGCGGCCGUGACCCUGCUGGAGUCCGGGGGGGACCUCCAGCCCCCCGGGGGGUCCCUGCGCCUCCUCUGCCGCGCCUCGGGGUUCACUUUCGGGAGCUACAACAUGGCAUGGGUGCGCCAGAGACCCGGGCAGGGGCUGGAAUUUGUCGCAGAGAUCAGCAGCGGUGGUGGCAGCACCUACUACGCGCCAUCAGUCAAGGGCCGGGCGACGAUCUCCAGGGACAACGGGCAGAGCUCGGUGACGCUGACCAUGAACGGCCUCAAGGACGAGGAUUCCGGCUCCUAUUUCUGUGCCAAAGCUGCUGACUUCUGGGGGACGGGGCUGGGAUUCGGGGCCGAUGGUUGGGAUUGGGGCAGAACCUGGCGAGGAUUUGGGUUCCGUGGUCACCGUUGGGGCAAAUGA